UGCAGCUGUGUCAAAUUCAUUGUCCACCUUCCCUGUGGUGGAGAUUGGUCCAAAUAGCUGCCACAGCAACAACUGUAGUUCAUGGGCCUCAGCACUCUUUGUGAGCUCUGGGGAUAGUUUUUCUGCAGACAGUU
rnacentral:snoRNA from 1 species